UCCGGCGACUUUUCCGGCGAU
rnacentral:snRNA from 1 species